UGAGAGAAUUCCUACUAAGGAAAUUUGUUGUUUGCUUGGAAUCUCAAGAAGGACUCUAUUUCGAGUCUUAAAAGAAAUCAACAUUACAGCUAGACAAAAAUACACUAAAAUUGGAACGAAGAACUUGGAAUCAUAUCUUACUAACACAAUCUUCAAAAUAAACCCCAAAUUUGGCUAUCAAAUGUUCAAGGGAGCUACGAUCGCAAACAAUGUCCUUUUAUCAAAUAAACGACUUAAAAAGGCCUACCGUUUAAUAAGACAACGACAAAAUGCCCCUUUAAUGCAACGCAUUCAUCGGAGAGUGUACAAGGUUCGUGCUCCGCUUUCGCUAUGGCACAUUGAUGGACACCACAAAUUAGACCGAUACUAAUUCAUCAUCCAAGGAGCCAUCGACGGAUUUUCCCGUUUUAUCGUAUACAUAUCAUUGGAAAAUAAUAACUGUUCCGAAACAGUUAUUGGAUUAUUUGAAAAGGGAGAUGAGGAAUGGGGCUAUCCAGCUAGUGUCAGUUUUAUUUGGGAGGGACAACGUACUAGUAGCGGAUUUCAUGAUAAACGCUAGAGGAGUGGAUAAAAACGCGUUUAGAACUGGAAAGUCUGUACACAAUCAGAGAGUAGAGAGGCUCUGGAAAGACGUUAUAGAGCGCUGUACUAUAACUUUCAUGGAUAUUUUGGGAGAAAUGGAAAUCGAAGGUGUACUAGACGUCGAUUCCAACCUAGAUCUUUUCUGUCUGCAUAUAGUGGCCACGAACCUCAAUCAACGGUCCUUACAGACCUUUAAAGACUCAUGUAACUGCCAUCCACUUCGAACAGAAAAUCAUCGCUCACCAAUGCAACUUUUUUACGAUGGUUUGCAGCAUUUAAAAACCCAGCAAGAUAACGGAGCCAUAUAGAAGGCGAAGUUACUGAGCUGAUACAGGGACAGAAAUUAAAACCGAUUUCGAAGUGGUCUGGUUACAAGGAUACCUUCUAUCGUUGUGUAAUUGAUCAAUUUGGAGUGAACAUUUCCGAAGAGGAACUACUCUGCAUUAUUGAUCUUAUUAAUCCAGCCACCAUUGAAAUUUGGAAUGUAAAAAAGAAAUUCAUUCAGCUUAAACAAUUUGUUCUCCAAAAUUUUGAUGAUUAAAAGUAAGUCAACCGAAGACUGAAAUAAAUGUUGUAAUGUACGGCUUGCCGUCACAGAUUGCA